AUUAUGAUAAAUAUAAUUAAGGGCCAAAUUCACCGAAGUAAUUAAACGUCGUUAGAAGGAUCGAAAACGCAGUUUAUGCUCUAAACGAGCUUAUACGCUCAUUUCGAUUUUCACCGACCAAUAUUAA